rnacentral:rRNA from 1 species
UACGUAGGGGGCUAGCGUUGUCCGGAUUUAUUGGGCGUAAAGAGCGUGUAGGCGGCUAGGUAGGUCCGUUGUGAAAACUCGAGGCUCAACCUCGAGACGCCGGUGGAAACCAUCUAGCUAGAGUCCGGAAGAGGAGAGUGGAAUUCCCGGUGUAGCGGUGAAAUGCGCAGAUAUCGGGAGGAACACCGGUGGCGAAGGCGGUUCUCUGGGCCUGACCUGACGCUCAGGUGCGAAAGCUAGGGGAGCGAACAGG